GACAGAGGAUGCAAGCGUUAUCCGGAAUGAUUGGGCGUAAAGCGUCUGUAGGUGGCUUUUUAAGUCCGCCGUCAAAUCCCAGGGCUCAACCCUGGACAGGCGGUGGAAACUACCAAGCUGGAGUACGGGUAGGGGCAGAGGGAAUUUCCGGUGGAGCGGUGAAAUGCGUAGAGAUCGGAAGGAACGCCCGUGGCGAAAGCGAGGUCCUGGACCCUUUCUGACGCUGAGACGCGAAAGCCAGGGGAGCGAACGGG
rnacentral:rRNA from 1 species